GUACAUAAAAUAUAUUUUGUUACUUUUUCACUAUACUUACAUUAGAUCUAUAUUAAUAGCUUAAGUCAUUAUUAUUAGUUACCUAAUUUUGCCAAAAUCAUUCAUUUCUAAAAAAAUUAUGCAUAUAUAAGUGUGUAUGUUUAUUUUGCAUGAGUGCAUGUGCUUGCAUUGAGCUGUUUUUCCAGGCCCCCACCCUCAAAUUAUACUUGUUUUUGUUGUUUAUAGUUUGAUUUUUUUCUUCUUGGUUUAAUAUGUGUUUCUGAUAGGUUGUAGGAAGGAAGACAGGAUUACUUGUAGUGCGUAGUGCUUAAAAGAAAGUACUUCAGUGUAAUGAUAACAUGGAUUAAAAAAUUAAUUACUUUAAAUUUAUAUUGUAUCUUUCCUCUGAAAUCUCAAGCCCUCACAUAGAGACUAUAAAAUUAUGGGAACCCAGGAGCUAAGCCUUGGUGGAAAGAGUGCUGUAUCAGGAAAAAAAAAAAAAAAGAAACAUGUUCUGUUAGAUGCAGAAUCUUUCUACUCCAGACCCAAUGAAGCACAAUGUGCAUUUUAUUUUAUUACUUAUUAAAAUAUAUGUGAUUUGUAUUAACAUAUACUAAUUGUAAAAAGAAAUAGGUUUCGUUGUCACAUUCCAUAUAUGCAUAAGAUAUUCAUGGCUCCUUCUAUUAUCUUAUAUCCUCUUUUCUUUCCCCUUCCCUUUCCCUUCUAAACCUCUAAUAGUCUCUCUUUAGCUUUUAUGUCCUUUCCCUGGAUGUCACAAAUGAGAGAAAAUGUCACACUUUUCUUUUUGAUAAUUGGCUUAUUUCACUUAACAUGAUUGAUCUCAGAAUAUGUAUUUAAAAAAGAGAUCUGGUGCUAGCAAAAUUCCUCAGCAUGUAGAAGCACUUGCUGUUAACCCUGAUAACCUGAGUUUGAUCUCCAGGACGUACAUGGUGACCAGAGAGAAUUGACUUCCUGAAGUUGUCCUGCAAGUUUUACAUGUGUACAUGGCAGUUCCAUCCAUUUGCCUACAAAUUCCAUAAUUGACAGCUGAAUAAUAAUCCAUUAUGUAAAGCCCACCAUGAGGUAGACAACUUUGCCUCAUCCCAAGUCCCUCCAUGAUGUUCUCCCUCAACACAGGCCCAAAAUCAACAGAACCAGCCAACUGUGGAUGAAACCUCUAAGUCAUGAACCCAAGUUCUACCCAUGAGUGAACAAUUUAGUGGGGAGGAAAGAAGAAGAAAAAUAUUCAUGUUUGCGGAAAUGCGGUCACUGUCUUUUUCUCUAUGACUGGCAAGAAAUAUGAUCUUGUAUGGAAACUUCCUUUCUCCUUGUGAGUGCCAAGAAAUAUGAUCUUGUCCAUCAGAAGACACACCUGGAUUAGAAGACAAAAAACCAUUUGGCUCCAGUGCUGCUAAAUAUUACUUGAGAUAUGAAAAAGUGAUCCAACUUUCCUGGAACCUGUGUUUUCAAAUCAACGAAAUUGGGCUUAUAUGUUUCUACCUUGACUCUCUUAGAGUUGUUAAAGGCUCUAGAGAGAUGGCUCAGUGGUUAAGAGAACUUGCUGCUCUUCUGAAGGACCUGAGUUCUGCUCCUGACACUGACAGUGGAUGCUCCACAAUUGCCUGUAAACUCUAACUCCAGGGUCUCUGACACCCUCUGGUUUAUAUGGAUACUCACAUGCAUAUGACAUGCACACAGAGACAUACACAUAAAAUAAAAACAAAUAUUGAAAACAUGACUUGCUAAAAAUGAAAUCAUGAAAUUUUCAGGUAAAUAGAUACAAGUGGAAAAUAUACUGAGCGAGGCACCCCAGAUCCAGAAAGACAAAUGCUGCAUGUUCUCUCUUAUUUGUAGUUCUAAGCUCUGAAUCUUUAGAUUUGCAUAUACAACAAGAGGUAAAGGGGUCAUAGAGAGGGGUGAAAAGGGAACUCUAGAAUGGGGGAGAGUAUGAGGCUGGUGCAAUGAAGAAGUUAAUGGGAAAAUAGGGAGACUUUAACUGCAGAAGUGGGUAAAAGGUUAAUAUAGGAAGAGAGGAAGGAAGGAGUGAUAACACCAAAGAUGCUUGAA